AUUGAACGCUGGCGGCAGGCCUAACACCUGCAAGUCGCACGAGUGGCGGACGGGUGCGUAAUGUCUGGGAAACUGCCUGCUGGAGGGGGCUAACUACUGGAAACGGUAGCUAAUACCGCAUACCAUCAGAUGUGCCCAGAUGGGAUUAGCUAGUUGGUGGGGUAACGGCUCACCAAGGCGACGAUCCCUAGCUGGUCUGAGAGGAUGACCAGCCACACUGGAGCUGUGCGACGGUCCAGACUCCUACGGGAGGCAGGAGUGGGGAAUAUUGCACAAUGGGCGCAAGCCUGAUGCAGCCAUGCCGCGUGUAUGAAGAAGGCCGUCGGGUUGUAAAGUACUUUCAGCGGGGAGGCGUUACCCGCAGAAGAAGCACCGGCUAACUCCGUGCCAGCCGCCGCGGUAAUAC
rnacentral:rRNA from 1 species